CUAUAGGUACCAACUCUAUAUCAUAAGUCAAUCUGGACAGGUGUAGCAUGUUUUCAUACCAAGUCCUAUAAUUCUACCUGGCAAGCAAUUUCUGUUCAGAGAUGUUUUAUUUGCCACCUCUCCCUACUAUUUUCGCUUCCGUUAGCAAAAGGAAAGUAUAUCAUUAGCCAUAAUGUUGUGCUUAUACAAUAAUUUUUUUAAUUUGGGAGAAAAGAAUGAUAGAUUCAAAAAGAUGAGAGCUAGUCAAACUAUGCUGCACAUAACGAGUAUAAAAGGCUUUGCCCACUUAGAAGCCCGAAAUGGUAAAAUUUAUGUUAAAUUAUGAGUUAAAUUUGCUUGAAAUUUUGUCAAUGUGUACAAAUUAUCAUAUAUAGGAAAUGGGUAAAACAAAUUGCAGCGUGUUGAAAGUGAAGACCCUGAUUCUAUUACAAGAGAUGAUAUUUAUAUUCGAGGACAUAUGCGAAAAAUGGUGAAUCAAUUAAUAAAUUAGUUGGGGAAAAACAUUGGUAACAAUAUUGGUUUUUGAAUUUCUUUACUGGAGUAAAGGAGUUAAGAGAUGAAAUUAAAGAAUUAAAAAUUUUGUUUCAACAAAAGAGUAAAAGUGUUGAACAAGAAAAUGUAAGUGCGAAACUAUCGUUACUGAAUAAUAUUCUAUAUUUCAUACUCUUUUCUAUAUUCAAAUUAACAAAUUGUACUUUCAUAUGAAUAUCACAGCAUAGUGAUAGAAGCUCGAAUGGUUUAGAUAACUGUCAAAGUAAGAAAUGUAAAUUGUUACAUUGGUUUGGGGAAGCUCAUGUAGUUGCAAAUGGUGAAAUCGCAGAAACAAAUCCUUGUGAUUUAGUGCAUCAUGUACCCCUUGGCGAUGAAUGUUGGAGAGUUAGGUUAAUGAAGUGAUUGACAAUGUUACCUUGUAUCAUUCCACACAUGAGCGAUUUCUUCUUGAAGAUGCAUAACGAAGUACAAUUGCAUGGCCAAUCAAGUUCAUCAAAAUGGAU
rnacentral:lncRNA from 1 species